UUGUACGUAUUGAGGAUUGCGGUACGUGUACGUACUGUAUAUAUUUUUCAUCGGAUCAACAGAAAUUUAGUUACGAACAAUUAUAAGGCUCAAACUACGAAAACCGCGUUUUUAUACCCUUAUUUUCUUCGGUCCUGCUCAUCACACAUCACUUUAAUUGAAUACUGGUUAAUCAAAGAAAUGCAAAAAGUUCAAAUUUUGUGUGCGUGGCGUGCAUAAACGAAGAAAGUUGUAGAGACUUGCAUUAAUGAAGGAAUUGUACGUAUUGAGGAUUGCGGUUACCGUGUACGCACUGUAUAUAUUUUUCAUCGGAUCAACAGAAAUUGAGUUACGAACAAUUAUAAGGCUCAAACUACGAAAACCGCGUUUUUAUACCGUAAGUCCAGAUUGUGAGGGGGUAUUCAAAAUUCUAAGUAUGCAUA